rnacentral:tRNA from 1 species
AAAGGGAGACCUAAUUCAGGUAGGAGACGAAAAAAAAGUAGUCGCUACCAAGAAUCAAUCCCAAAAGGUCGGAGCGAGGCGAAAUUGGCUUUCAAACUAGGUUCUGGGUUCAAACAAGACCUGAAUCAGGAACAAGGGCUAUUAGCUCAGGUGGUUAGAGCGCACCCCUGAUAAGGGUGAGGUCCCUGGUUCGAGUCCAGGAUGGCCCACCUGUACAGGUGGCAAAAAGAAAGAAAAGAAGCGAGGAAUCAGCACCUUAUCUUAUUUAUAUAGUAAGAGAGAAUGCUGGCUCUGAGUAAAGAGUCCAGAGGAACCUUGAAAACUGCAUAGAGCUAGGUGAAAAAGCCAAAAAAGAAGACCGCAAG